rnacentral:rRNA from 1 species
AUUGAACGCUGGCGGCAUGCUUUACACACGCAAGUCGAACGGCAGCGCGGGCUUCGGCCUGGCGGCGAGUGGCGAACGGGUGAGUAAUGCAUCGGAACGUGCCCAGUAGUGGGGGAUAGCCCGGCGAAAGCCGGAUUAAUACCGCAUACGACCUGAGGGUGAAAGCGGGGGACCGAAAGGCCUCGCGCUAUUGGAGCGGCCGAUGUCGGAUUAGCUAGUUGGUGGGGUAAAGGCUUACCAAGGCGACGAUCCGUAGCUGGUCUGAGAGGACGACCAGCCACACUGGGACUGAGACACGGCCCAGACUCCUACGGGAGGCAGCAGUGGGGAAUUUUGGACAAAGGGGGCAACCCUGAUCCAGCCAUGCCGCGUGCGGGAAGAAGGCCUUCGGGUUGUAAACCGCUUUUGUUCGGGAAGAAAUCCUCUGGGCUAAUACCCCGGGGGGAUGACGGUACCGGAAGAAUAAGCACCGGCUAACUACGUG